ensembl:lncRNA
AGAACAUGGCCAAGAUGUUCAAAUGUUCAUAAAUGACCAGCAUGGUCGAAUAAUAAUAAGGCAGAACAGUUGAAACUGGAGCAGCAGCACAGUCAGAUGGAAGUUGAAACUGGAGCAGCAGCAUGGCCAGGUGGACUGGGACAGCAAGGAGUCAUCAUGUCAGGUAGUCCUGGAGCUCAGGUCCUAGGGCUCAGGUCCUCCGGAGAGAGAAAGAAAGAGAGAAGGAGAGAAUUAGAGAACGCACACUUAGAUUCACACAGGACACCGAAUAGGACAGGAGAAGUACUCCAGAUAUAACAAACUGACCCCAGCCCCCCGACACAUAAACUACUGCAGCAUAAAUACUGGAGGCUGAGACAGGAGGGGUCAGGAGACACUGUGGCCCCAUCUGAGGUCACCCCCGGACAGGGCCAAACAGGAAGGAUAUAACCCCACCCACUUUGCCAAAGCACAG